CAAGCUCCGCUGUGAUCGUGCCUUAGGCGAUAAAGAUAUUGGUGAAGUCAACGUCCCUAUCAAGGAGCUCUUUGAUUCCAUGGGAGAUGGGAAGUCCAUGCAAUUCGUUAGUUAUCAGGUCAGGAAACCAUCGGGGAAACCCAAAGGUGAGUUGAACUUUUCUUUUAAGUUUGGUGACAAAGUCGUCUCAGAACCUAAGGUAGGGGACAAGGCUGACCAACCCGUCACGGCAUAUCCUGCUGCUCCUCCU
rnacentral:misc_RNA from 1 species